rnacentral:lncRNA from 1 species
CUGUGUAGUAUGUAAUGACAUAUUUUAUGUUUUUUUAGUUGCUCUGUGAAGUGUGUAAUGACAUAUUUUAUGUUUUUUUGAGUUACCCUGUGUAGUGUGUAAUGACAUAUUUUAUGUUUUUUUGAGCUGCUCUGUGUAGUGUGUAAUGACAUAUUUUAUGUUUUUUUCAGCUCCUCUGAGCAGUGUGUAAUGACAUAUUUUAUGGUUUUUUUAGCUGCUCUGUGUAGUGUAAUGACAUAUUUUAUGUUUUUUUGAGUUGCCCUGUGUAGUGUGUAAUGACAUAUUUUAUGUUGUUUUGAGGUGCUCUGUGUAGUGUGUAAUGACAUAUGUUAUGUUGUUUUGAGGUGCUGUGUAGUGUGUAAUGACAUAUUUUAUGUUUUUUUGAGUUGCUCUGUGUAGUGUGUAAUGACAUAUUUUUAUGUUUUUUUGAGUUGCUCUGUGUAGUGUGUAAUGACAUAUUUUAUGUUUUUUUGAGCUGCUCUGUGUAGUGUGUAAUGACAUAUUUUAUGGUUUUUUUAGGUGCUCUGUGUAGUGUGUAAUGACAUAUUUUAUGUUUUUUUUUAGUUGCUCUGUGUAGUGUGUAAUGACAUAUUUUAUGUUUUUUUGAGCUGCUCUGUGUAGUGUGUAAUGACAUAUUUUAUGUUUUUUUGAGUUGCUCUGUGUAGUGUGUAAUGACAUAUUUUAUGUUUUUGUUAGCUGCUCUGUGUAGUGUGUAAUGACAUAUUUUAUGUUUUUUUAGUUUCUCUGUGUAGUGUGUAAUGACAUAUUUUAUGUUUUUUUUUGCUCUGUGUAGUGUGUAAUGACAUAUUUUAUGUUUUUUUUGAGCUGCUCUGUGUAGUGUGUAAUGACAUAUUUUAUGUUUUUUUUAGCUGCUCUGUGUAGUGUGUAAUGACAUAUUUUAUGUUUUUUUGAGUUGCUCUGUGUAGUGUGUAAUGACAUAUUUUAUGUUUUUUUGAGCUGCUGUGUUU